UACGGAGGGUGCAAGCGUUAUCCGGAUUCACUGGGUUUAAAGGGAGCGUAGGUGGGGUGGUAAGUCAGUGGUGAAAUCUCCGGGCUUAACUCGGAAACUGCCGUUGAUACUAUCAUUCUUGAAUAUUGUGGAGGUAAGCGGAAUAUGUCAUGUAGCGGUGAAAUGCUUAGAUAUGACAUAGAACACCGAUAGCGAAGGCAGCUUGCUACACAAUUAUUGACACUGAGGCUCAAAAGCGUGGGGAUCAAACAGG
rnacentral:rRNA from 1 species